AUUGAACGCUAGCGGGAUGCUUUACACAUGCAAGUCGAACGGAGUGGCGGACGGGUGAGUAAUAUAUCGGAACGUGCCCAGUAGCGGGGGAUUACUACCCGACAGAGUGGCUAAUAUUGCAUAGUAUUGGAUCGGCCCAUAUCGGAUUAGCUAGUUGGUGGGGUAAUGGCUCACCAAGGCAACGAUCCGUAGCUGGUUUGAGAGGACGACCAGCCACACUGGGACUGGAACACCGCCAAGACUCCUGAGGGAGGCAGCAGUGGGGAAUUUUGGACAAUGGGGGAGACCCUGAGCCAACCAUCCCGCAUGUAUGAUGAAGACCUUCGGGUUGUAAAGUACUUUUGGCAGAGAAGCGGUAUCUGCAGAAUAAGCACCGGCUAACUACGUGCCAGCAGCCGCGGUAAUUC
rnacentral:rRNA from 1 species